rnacentral:rRNA from 1 species
CCUACGGGAGGCUGCAGUGAGGAAUAUUGGUCAAUGGACGAGAGUCUGAACCAGCCAAGUAGCGUGAAGGAUGACUGCCCUAUGGGUUGUAAACUUCUUUUAUAUGGGAAUAAAAUGUUCCACGUGUGGGAUUUUGUAUGUACCAUAUGAAUAAGGAUCGGCUAACUCCGUGCCAGCAGCUGCGGUAAUACGGAGGAUCCGAGCGUUAUCCGGAUUUAUUGGGUUUAAAGGGAGCGUAGGGGGGUUGUUAAGUCAGUUGUGAAAGUUUGCGGCUCAACCGUAAAAUUGCAGUUGAAACUGGCAGUCUUGAGUACAGUAGAGGUGGGCGGAAUUCGUGGUGUAGCGGUGAAAUGCUUAGAUAUCACGAAGAACUCCGAUUGCGAAGGCAGUUCACUGGACUGCAACUGACACUGAGGCUCGAAAGUGUGGGUAUCAAACAGGAUUAGAUACCCGUGUAGUC